GAUGUCAAGAUGGUAGCCAACAAUCACCCGUGGACA
rnacentral:tRNA from 1 species